GAUGAACGCUGGCGGCGUGCCUAAUACAUGCAAGUCGAGCGAACAGACGAGGAGCUUGCUCCUCUGACGUUAGCGGCGGACGGGUGAGUAACACGUGGAUAACCUACCUAUAAGACUGGGAUAACUUCGGGAAACCGGAGCUAAUACCGGAUAAUAUAUUGAACCGCAUGGUUCAAUAGUGAAAGACGGUUUUGCUGUCACUUAUAGAUGGAUCCGCGCCGCAUUAGCUAGUUGGUAAGGUAACGGCUUACCAAGGCGACGAUGCGUAGCCGACCUGAGAGGGUGAUCGGCCAAAGUGGAACUUAGACACGGCACCGACCCCUAAGGGGAGACGCAGUAGGGAAUUUUCCGGCAUGGGGGAAAGCCUGAAGGAGCAACGCCGGGUGAGUGAUGAAGGUCUUCGGAUCGUAAAACCCUGUUAUUAGGGAAGAAAAAAUGUGUAAGUAACUAAGCAAGUUUUGACGGUACCUAAUCAGAAAGCCAAGGCUAACUACGUG
rnacentral:rRNA from 1 species